CACGCGGUAAACGAUGAUUACUGGUUGUUCGCGAUACACUGUGAGCGACUGAGCGAAAGCGUUAAGUAAUCCACCUGGGGAGUACGUUCGCAAGAAUGAAACUCAAAGGAAUUGACGGGGGCCCGCACAAGCGGAGGAACAUGUGGUUUAAUUCGAUGAUACGCGAGGAACCUUACCCGGGCUCGAACGGUGCAUGAAUAUAUGAGAGAUUGUAUAGUCUUCGGACAUGCAUCGAGGUGC
rnacentral:rRNA from 1 species